rnacentral:rRNA from 1 species
GUGAGUAACACGUGGGAAUCUACCCAUCCCUGCGGAACAACUCCGGGAAACUGGAGCUAAUACCGCAUACGCCCUACGGGGGAAAGAUUUAUCGGGGAUGGAUGAGCCCGCGUUGGAUUAGCUAGUUGGUGGGGUAAAGGCCUACCAAGGCGACGAUCCAUAGCUGGUCUGAGAGGAUGAUCAGCCACAUUGGGACUGAGACACGGCCCAAACUCCUACGGGAGGCAGCAGUGGGGAAUAUUGGACAAUGGGCGCAAGCCUGAUCCAGCCAUGCCGCGUGAGUGAUGAAGGCCUUAGGGUUGUAAAGCUCUUUCACCGAUGAAGAUAAUGACGGUAGUCGGAGAAGAAGCCCCGGCUAACUUCGUGCCAGCAGCCGCGGUAAUACGAAGGGGGCUAGCGUUGUUCGGAAUUACUGGGCGUAAAGCGCACGUAGGCGGAUAUUUAAGUCAGGGGUGAAAUCCCGCAGCUCAACUGCGGAACUGCCUUUGAUACUGGGUAUCUUGAGUAUGGAAGAGGUUAGUGGAAUUGCGAGUGUAGAGGUGAAAUUCGUAGAUAUUCGCAGGAACACCAGUGGCGAAGGCGGCUAACUGGUCCAUAACUGACGCUGAGGUGCGAAAGC